rnacentral:rRNA from 1 species
UAGGGAAUCUUCGGCAAUGGACGGAAGUCUGACCGAGCAACGCCGCGUGAGUGAAGAAGGUUUUCGGAUCGUAAAGCUCUGUUGUAAGAGAAGAAUGAGUGUGAGAGUGGAAAGUUCACACUGUGACGGUAUCUUACCAGAAAGGGACGGCUAACUACGUGCCAGCAGCCGCGGUAAUACGUAGGUCCCAAGCGUUGUCCGGAUUUAUUGGGCGUAAAGCGAGCGCAGGCGGUUAGAUAAGUCUGAAGUUAAAGGCUGUGGCUUAACCAUAGUACGCUUUGGAAACUGUUUAGCUUGAGUGCAAGAGGGGAGAGUGGAAUUCCAUGUGUAGCGGUGAAAUGCGUAGAUAUAUGGAGGAACACCGGUGGCGAAAGCGGCUCUCUGGCUUGUAACUGACGCUGAGGCUCGAAAGCGUGGGGAGCAAACAGGAUUAGAUACCCUGGUAGUCCACGCCGUAAACGAUGAGUGCUAGGUGUUAGACCCUUUCCGGGGUUUAGUGCCGUAGCUAACGCAUUAAGCACUCCGCCUGGGGAGUACGACCGCAAGGUUG